UAUAAACCUUUGUAAUUAGCAUUUGCAGAGGUCAACGGCAGGGGGAGCAAAGACGCGGCCAAUGGCAUCUAUAGCAGGCCACGCUGUGAUCCUCAACAUGAUAAAUAUCGAUCAUAUGACUUAUGAAAAUAUUCCUGCUCACUUAUCCAAAAAUAGGCGUAUAAAUAGAACGUAAGUAGGAGAAGAGCGAGACUGGGCUAAGCUAAACUAAGCGUGAAUAAGAAACCAUAAACGCGGAUGCUUCUUGUAUUUUAAGGUGGAACGGAUGCGUCAGCUGCGAAUAAGAAGCUGUAUUCAGCCUCUUUCCAAAACGCGAUAAAAGAGAUUAAAAAAAAUAGUUUUCGCCAAAAUCAUAUUAUAUCAGGUCGGUACUGAAAAGUCAACUUGUAUUUUUACGCAAAAUGCGAUAUCCGCCGUGUUUUCUCCCUUUCUUUACAAACCGCCAGUCUCACUUCUCUGCAGGAUGCAAUUGAUCCACUCAACCAAUCACAGCGCACCAUUCCGGGCUUUGGAAACAGUAAUGGCGGCGAUCUGAACACGUUCGGCAUUAUCGGUUCCCUGAUCGACUUUGUGUUCAACAAAACAAACAAACAAAAGACAUGAAUAACUUUGACGUCAUCGAUGAACCUGUGCUGGUUUCUGCGGUGGGGAAGAAACGUAAGGUGGGGCCAACAUAUGGGCUCACAUUUAUGACGGGUUACCUGUCAUCAAAAGGCAUACAUUCAGGUGAAGUACGAGUAUGAAAAAGAGCCACGACAGGUUCAUCAAUCAAAUCAUGAAUUGCGACACAAGGUUUGCAUUACCCUGUCUUUAAGGAUUUUAACUGAGUAAUUUGAUAUGUCUGAUCCUUUCACACUGUAUUAAUUAAAUAUUAUUAUUAUUAAUUAUUCUUGAGUGAAAUGCACAGGCAGUGCUGUUACUUUUAGGGUGUACGCAAUCUGAAUCCAGUCCCCUACUCUGCAGAAUACAUGGGACAUAAACUACACUUGGACCAAAAUGAAAUGCCGGUGAUGGUUGGAGUGACGCAUGUUGUUGCAAUAGAUGGCUUCAGCAGCCAAAUAGUGGCUUAUAACACCAUGCCUGUUAAAAAAAAGUUAACAGACUAUCAGAAAGUUUACAGGUACAUACAUUAACAUGUUUUUUGUUGUUGUUUCAGUCUUACAGCAAUGUAUCUCUAUUCUAGACCUUAGUAAUCACAACACUGCACUUUUUAGAUGUCACAGACUAACAAUUUUCACUCCCUGACUAUGUCCGAACAAAAUCAUCAAAGGUAAGUUUUUCCUACUGUUUUAAAAACAUUACCCGAAGUCCAUUAUUUCUUUGCACAAUACUGUAAAAUAUUAUGAUACCAUAUCCACAGAACCUCAAAAGUUGAGCGUAAUUGGCCAGAAAUAAACAACAGAGUCAACUAUCCCGUGAAAGAACCACUGAUGCAACUUCAGGACCAAGAGAUCAUCAGCAUGGAGGACAACACAACUAAAUUUUGUGUAUCCAAUCUCACCUGUCAGGUUUCCAAAAUUGGGAUUGAACGAACUGUGCAGUCAUGGAAUGAACAUAUGAUUGCAGGUAUUUCUAAACAUGCAUGAAUGACAGGCUAUUUUCUUUUCUUUUUUGUAACAAUGUAAACUGACUUCAUGACUUCACAUCAUUUAGUUGUUUAUAACUGCACUAUUGUCAAGCAUCACAGAUUUGGUAGGUCCUUUCUAUGAUUGACAUCACAGCCGUUUUAUGCACGAGUUGGCUGUUCUGUAUAAUUUUUUAAUACUUUUCUAUCUGUUAAUACAUUGAUUAAUUAUCGUGCUCCUAUUGUAGGAAAAGGUUAUCAAACAUCUUGGCUAAAGGUGGGUGUCCAGCAAAGAUUUCAGAGGAAUUCCUUCCACAGCCCUCUGUUGUUGCAGAUAUGUACAAGAUGUGGAGUCUUGUUUUACAAGAACAUCAACAUUUGCGACGGAUCCCUUUUCUUCGGAGGGCGACAGAGAUUAGAUUAGAUUCAACUUUAUUGUCUUUACACAUAUACAAGUACAGUGUAACAAAGUGUAGUUUAGGUCUAACCAGAAGUGCAAUUAGCAAGUGCAGGAUAUACAGUGUGAAUAAAUACAGAAUACAAUAUUAGGAAAAUACUAUACAAUAGGCAUGUACUAUGAAAAUACUUUACAGAAGGAAUGUUCUAUGAAAAUAUAACAGUCGGUAUGUAGGAAGAGGAAGAUCUCGCUGAGCAAUGCCCAGACAUUACUCUGUGCUUUGUGUUAUGACUUUACACCAGGUUUUUCAUGAGUUUAAUGAUUUUUUGAAGAAUAACAGGAACAAGACAUUUAUCAUAAAACUAAGAAAAUGUACUACAAAUGUCUGUGAAAAGCAGUUUUACAAAGUACAUGUCAUAAAUAGCAAGUCUUUUGCACAGUAUAUGGCAUGUUCAAUUCUAAUAAAAUAAAGCUGUUAUUUCAGGUAUAAAAGUAA